UACGUAGGGCGCGAGCGUUUGUCCGGAAUUAUUGGGCGUAAAGAGCUCGUAGGCGGCUUGUCACGUCGGGUGUGAAAGACCGGGGCUUAACUCCGGUUCUGCAUUCGAUACGGGCUAGCUAGAGUGUGGUAGGGGAGAUCGGAAUUCCUGGUGUAGCGGUGAAAUGCGCAGAUAUCAGGAGGAACACCGGUGGCGAAGGCGGAUCUCUGGGCCAUUACUGACGCUGGAGGAGCGAAAGCGUGGGAGCGAACAGG
rnacentral:rRNA from 1 species